rnacentral:rRNA from 1 species
UCUGGCGACCGGCGCACGGGUGAGUAACACGUAUCCAACCUGCCCUUUACUCGGGGAUAGCCUUUCGAAAGAAAGAUUAAUACCCGAUAGCAUAAUGAUUCCGCAUGGUUUCAUUAUUAAAGGAUUCCGGUAAAGGAUGGGGAUGCGUUCCAUUAGGUUGUUGGUGAGGUAACGGCUCACCAAGCCUUCGAUGGAUAGGGGUUCUGAGAGGAAGGUCCCCCACAUUGGAACUGAGACACAGUCCAA